UCAACAAAUCUAUUUAUUAAUUAUAAACAAUUUGAAGAGACUACAAAACUUUUUAAAUCUACUACAAAACUCUACAAACAAAAUACAAUUGAUUACAAAAGAGUUCUUUUUAUUUUAUAAUAUGCAUGAUGUAUCAUAUGAUGUUAGCCGAUGACUGACACUUUAAAUAAUUAAUUAAAAAUUAAUUAUAAACUAACAAACAAAAAUAAAUUCACCACAAUCAUCUACAAACAAAAUACAAUCGAUUUCACAUCUAUUUUUGUAAUUUUAUAGUACAUGUCGGCUAGUUUCAUGGUCUAUAAUUAAAUAAUUAAUUAAAAAUUAAUUAUGAACUAACAAACGAAAAUAAAUGCAUUACAAUUAUCUACAAACGAAAUACAAUCGAUUUCAUACAUAAUUAUUUAAAAAAAAUGUUAAUCGUCGACUAAUAUCAUACGAAUGAUGGCAACAGUUAUUUGAAAUUGGGUUUUGCAGGUUCUAACAGUGAUGGUGGGGUAUGAGCAAACAGUAAUCUUGGUCAAAGCUUGGAAUUUGGUCAGAAAAUAUUCCAUCUCCAAAAUUAUUGCCUGGUACAACGACCCUGCUUCCUUGUACUUUGGUGAGAGACGAGGCAUUCCCUCUUAAAUCAUAUCUCAUGAGACCAUAUCCAAAAAAAUCGUUGAUCAGUGAUUCAUAAAACUUUUAAUUAUCAUUUGUCCAGAGGAAGAUGAACAAUUGAAAAUGCCUUCGGAAUUCUUGUUUCUCGAUGGAGAAUUUUAAGGAGAUCAAUUCAAUGCAAAGAAGAAACUGCUCAUAAAAUUGCUUGCCCUUAUUAUUUUGCAUAACUACAUUAUGUCUUGUAAUGAAUGUAAAUAUUGUCCAUUACAUUUUUGUAGACCAGGAAAGUAAUAGCAUUGUUACUCCAGGGCAAUGGCACAAUGAAAAAUUAUUAGGAUCACAUAUUGUACGUAUUAAUCAAGUUAGCUCAAACCUAACUACUUACACUACAAAUGCUCAGUGAGACAUUCUGCGAAAAUAUUUUAUGACAAACAUUGGAGCAGUUGACUGGCAAUUUAAUUGUCCAUUAAGGGGUUAUGACAUUAAUAUUCUUUCAUACGAUAUGCAAUAUGCUAUUGUUAAUUUGCAGUUUUAAGAAUUAAUACAAAGAAUGUGCUAAAGCCGAGUGUUUUUAUCAAGAAUAAAUAUAUUUAGGUAUAGCUUCUUAUAGGUCAAGAUUCUUAUAUUAAAUUUUUUUUUAACAUGUAAAGUGUAUAAUAUAUAAAAUAAUAUUAUAUAAAAUAUUAUAUAUAAUAUUAUAUAAAAUAAAUAACAUAUUUACACUUUGUAUUAUUAUUAUUAUAAACAAUAUAUUUAUAUAUUUUGUACAUAUUCAUUAUUAUAAGCAAAAAAAUUUCAAGUGACAAGUUCUCUAUAUCAUUACUAUAAAAAUAUAAAUAAUGUUUAACAUUUUCAUAUUAUACAUUACAGUUUCCGUAGUAUAAUUUAAGUAUAGUCAAGUAAGUAUUUGAAAAAAUAUUUAGGUAUAUAAUACAGUGUAUUUUUUACUUUCAUUCUCAAAAUGAAAUUAAGUUUUCCAGAUGUGCAUAGAUAAAUAUCUGAAUCGCGGUAACAGUAUUAAGUACAACUAAAUUUAUAAGAUAUAUAAAUAUACAUAUAUAUUCAUAGAUAACAGUAGCACAAAUAUACUUGAAAAUUUUACAUGCAUAUUUCAAUAAUUUUCUUGUAAUAAUUAAUUAAUAAUAUUAUAAUUUUUUUUGCAACGUAUUAAUCAAAUUAAUUUGCUAGUUGUAAUAUUCUUAAAAUAAAAAUGUGUGUGCAAAUUAAUUUAACAAUAUGAACUCACCAAUUGCAAGAUUAAAAUAAUGCCAUCAAUAAGCCAAUAUAAACUGAACAUAAAAGAUUUAUUUCAAUAUAAACAAAAUGCAUUUCGAUAUUAUUUAGACAAAAUACAUAUUAUUUAGGUAAAAAAUUUUAAGAAAAAAAGAAAGAAAAAAAGAUUUUCUGUUAAUUUAUUAUUUGCUUUAUCUUGCAUUUGGCUUGCGUUAGUUUGUAGUUAGCAUUGCUUUGAUCUUUCUCUUUGUAACAUUCAAAAUAAUUAUAAUGAUAUAUUAAAAAAAAUGUAAUAAACUACCAAUCAAAUUUAUAAGUUAUAUAAAUAUAAAUAUAUAUAAUAGAUAUAACAUUUACGUACUUAGUGUAAUUUGCAAAGAAAUAAAUUAUAGAAAAAAAAUUUAAUUUGUUUAAAUCACAGAAUAUAUACAAAUAAAAUUUAAAAGAUUUUUAUUUUAACAAGUUGAUAACUAUCCUAAACAAUAAUAAGUAAAUCUGAACAACAAUAUUAUAUUAACGCAUUUUUUUUUUAGUUUUUAUAUACAGAGCGUUUUAAAACUGGACUUUCUCUUUAUGGCAGAUUUCUUAAAACAUUUCAAAAUAAAAAUCCAUUUUAAUACAAAAAUCUCGAAACUAUAAUGGUUUUUAAACGGAAAGCGAUUAUAUUUUACAAAUGAAACAACUAGAAUUACGCGUACUCAGGUGAAAUAACAAGUGACAAAAGUGCUUUAUAAAUAGGGCGCCUUUUUUAUGAUUAUCGUAUAAAUUUAAUAACAUUGUCAUUAUGUUUUCCUGCUUCCUUACGCAUUGCAUUGAUAUAUUCUUUUUACGAAUGGAUGCUUCUCUACGCAUUGCAUUAUGCCCGUAUCAGACUACACAUUGAAAAUUGAAGCUUGGAAUUUGACUAAUCACAACAAAAGAAACUAAAAUUUCUUUGAAGUGAUUGGUUAAAUUUCAAUCUUCAAUCUUCAAUCUCAACCUUCAAUGCGUAGUCUGAUACAGGUUUUAGUAUAUUCUUUUUACGAAUGGAUGCGACAACUAAAGGCAUCUCAAAAAUGAUUCAAGUAAAAAUUUGGAACUGUGCCUGAGCGCGCGAAAUCUCACCCCUCUCAUUCGUAAAAUAUAAUCGCUUCCCGUUUAAAAAUAUUAUAGUCUCAAUAUUUUUGUAUUAAGAUUUUCGUCUUGAACUGUUCUAAAGGCCAUUGCACGUUACAAAAUUUUAGUCGUAAUCGUAAAGCCGUAAAUAAAUCAAUCAAUCACAGUUCAAACAUUUUUAUUAUGUAUUAGAAUGUUUGAUUGUGAUUGGUCAAUUUUCUUACGGCCUUACAAUGACUAAAAUUUUUUAACGUGCAAUGGCCGUAAGAAAUCUGCCAUUAAGAGAAAGUCUGAUAAUUUGGAGAAAUCCUAUAUAAGUAUCUAUAAAAUAGAAGAAUUGUAGAAAUGUUUUGUGUUGUGCUAAAUAUUUUGUUUUAGUUUUCAAUUUUCUUUAAAUAUUCAUAAGUUAUAAAUAUACAAUGAAAUCUCGAAUUGGCGCACAACAUCUCUUCCGUACAUGAUAGACUGCUCCCGAGUAGUGUAAGUGAGAGUAACGAUCCAAUCGCAUAGCAAUAUAUAUUUGUGAGCGCAAUGUCCCAACGUCCUCUCCCGAUGGUAUAUUUGAACAGGCUUAUUCGUGCAAGUUUCAUAUGGCUCUGAAUUUGAGGGAAUUUGGUAGUAAUCUUGUUAUAGCGUGCCGAAAUUCCGUACAGUGCGCUAUUUCGAAAAGUUUCACUGUAUAAAGAAA